UGAGGCAAAUCCUUGCAUUAUAAAUCCCUGAUGAAGGACGGGGACUGUGCAGCGAUGCAUGGGAACUUGGAGGAGCCGUACUGCCAAGAAAGAGCCGCUCAGGGAGGUUAUUUGUUGCCCGUACCGGAAACCGACACAGGUGGGCGAGGGUAGUACCCAAAGGCGCACAAGAGAACCCCUGUUAAGGAACUCGGCAAAAUGCACGUGUAACUUCGGGAUAAGCGUGGCCUCAAGUAGGUGAUGGGGAGAAACCGGAGCUGAAAGAGGUUGCAAAAAAGAGGCUCUGGCGACUGUUUACCAAAAACACAGAUCUCUGCUAAGACUUAAGUCUAAGUAUAGGGAUUGAGACCUGCCCGGUGCCAGAAGGUUAAAGAAGGGGGUCAACGGGGUAACCCGUGAAGCUCUUGACUGAAGCCCUGGUAAACGGCGGCUGUAACUAUAACAGUCCUAAGGUAGCGAAAUUCCUUGUCGGGUAAGUUCCGACCUGCAUGAAUGGUAUAACGACUGGAGCGCUGUCUCAACAGGGGACUUGGUGAAAUUGAAGUAUCGGUGCAAAUACCGAUUACCCGCAGCUAGACGGAGAGACCCUGUGAACCCUUACUGUACCCUGGCAUUGUAUUCUGGCACGUUCUGUGUAGGAUAGGUGGGAGGCUAUGAAGCGUGGGCGCCAGCUUGCGUGGAGCCAACCUUGAAAUACCACCCUUAACGUGUCGGACUACUAACGGAUGCUGUGGAAGCAUCUAGACAGUGUCAGGCGGGCGGUUUGACUGGGGCGGUCACCUCCCAAAGUGUAACGGAGGUGUACGAAGGUUCCCUCGAGCUGUAUAGAAAUCAGCUGAAAGAGCGUAAAGGUAUAAGGGAGCUUGACUGCGAGAGAGACAUCUCGAGCAGGGACGAAAGUCGGUCUUAGUGAUCCGGUGGUUUUUGUAUGGAAAAGCCAUCGCUUAACGGACAAAAGGUACUCCGGGGAUAACAGGCUGAUACCGCCCAAGAGUUCACAUCGACGGCGGUGUUUGGCACCUCGAUGUCGGCUCAACUCAUCCUGGGGCUGAGGUAGGUCCCAAGGGUUCGGCUGUACGCCGAUUAAAGAGUUACGUGAGCUGGGUUCAGAACGUCGUGAGACAGUUCGGUUCCUAUCUACUGUGGGCGCUGGAUAUUUGAGGGGAGCUGUUCCUAGUACGAGAGGAUCGGAAUGGACGUACCUCUGGUGCACCAGUUGUCGUGCCAACGGCACAGCUGGGUAGCUAUGUACGGAAGGGAUAACCACUGAAAGCAUCUAAGUGGGAAGCCUCCCCCAAGAUUAGAUAUCCCUCAAGGUUCCAGGUAGACUACCUGGUUGAUAGGUCGCAGGUGUAAGUACAGUAAUGUAUUCAGCCGAGCGAUACUAAUAAACCGUUUGACUUGCCCCC
rnacentral:rRNA from 1 species